UACGUAGGGAGCAAGCGUUGUUCGGAUUUACUGGGCGUAAAGGGCGCGUAGGCGGCCAUUCAAGUCAGCUGUGAAAUCUCCGGGCUUAACUCGGAACGGUCAGCUGAUACUGCUUUGCUAGAGUGCAGAAGGGGCAAUCGGAAUUCUUGGUGUAGCGGUGAAAUGCGUAGAUAUCAAGAGGAACACCUGAGGUGAAGACGGGUUGCUGGGCUGACACUGACGCUGAGGCGCGAAAGCUAGGGUAGCAAACGGG
rnacentral:rRNA from 1 species